GCUGCACUCAGGCCCCAGUCAAACAGCCGGGUUGUCCCAAAUGACAGUGUAGACCCUGAGACUGACAGCAUGGGAGCUGCCAUCUUGUAAACAGGCCUUGCUUCAGAGGUCAACUAUAGCACAUCUUAGGGUCUUCAUGUCAAAACUUUGCCGAGCUCCCCAUUUUAUAAAGCACCAGCUCCUUUGUUCUGCUGUGACCCACGUCGCCUAUGCUGACCCAAAUAGAGGUCGCUUGGAAAAUGUUGAUGCCAGCUGAGGGCUGUGAUUCAUGCCCCAACAGAGGAUGACUCGGCAACAGUGGACCAAAACACCCCACAAACUAUAAUUGGAAUCCAAUUUGCUUUGAGUGCUAGGAAGCCUGCAAUGUAUUAAAAAGAAAAAAAGACAUCGCUGUAGUCAUCAAAUUGCUUCAAACGGUGGAGGUCUCAACAAAGCUAAUUUGAUACUAGAAGUCUCUACGUUCAUUGUGAGCUCAGCAGCAUUGAAAUUGGAAUUGUGCCUCGUGAGAGGCUACUUUAUUGGACACCCUCCCAUCCUGUGAAAGGCGUAGCAUCACUCAGCUGCAUCAGUAAAAGACAGGUGGUGAACCCCUCGUUCAGAAUUGCCUUCGUCCAGCCCGGCACCAGCCUAUCUUACCUCUGGCUCUUAUAACGUAUGCAGAAUGGAGAUACCUUGUUCCGAACUCGUAACGUCCAGAUGCAAGACCAACGAGAGACAAGGCCUGUUCGAUGUUUUGUGACGUAAGCAAGGGUGGUCCGAGCCAAAGACUAUAUGUCCGAGCUGUUUCGAUGUUUUGUGACGUAAGCAAGGGUGGUCCGAGCCAAAGACUAUAUGUCCGAGCUGUUCGCAUUGACUACGGUGCCAGACGAAAGAAAUAUAAACAAACCCUCGCCAAAAUCUAUCAUUUUUGGUCUGCCAGUUAUUAGUUUGCUUAUUUUCUCGUCUACACUAAUUAGUGUACGCCAAAUAAUACUUACUCAAAACACAAGUUAUAAGAUUAAUACAAAAUGCUGAACCACAACAAUUUAUUUAGUUACACUUACAUCACAAAAAAAGUUCUUUCUACUAUAUGUGAAUGAAAUAAAUCUCUCUUACAUAAAGUCAUUAUUUGGUAUUUAAAUUUUCUAACUUUCUCUUUGGCUACAAUAGUUACUUUCUUGAACAAAAAUUAUUCAAUGAAACGUUAGUAGGAACCCAUAUUGUUUUUUUUUUUUUUGGUACUAUAACCUUCAUUACUUAUUGAGCAGCUUAUCUAUUAUUUACAUUUUGACAUUUAAACGUUUAAAUUCAUGAUUGUCGACCAAAUGUAAAAUUUUGACAUUUCCAUCCUGAAUAAAAAGGGAGUGAUUUUUUUUACAAUAGUUAGUAAAGCUUGAACGAUAUAUUCAUUGAUUAUUUGUAAAACUAAAUGAACAUUUUGUUUCUCAAAGGUGUAGGGAGAUAAUGCUUUUAAUGAUAGUUUAUAUGAAUGUUCAUUGAGUAAACAUCUAUAUCAUGAAGUUUUUCAAAGGACUGAAUGUGCACAAUGAAUUUCCUUUUCCAAAUUGACAUCAAAGGAGAACUGAUGUAUAACUUUAUUGUUUUAUUCAUAACUUUCUGGCCAAGCCAAUUAUUCCUGAUAUAUUUUAACAAUUUUUACUGAAACAUACAUGGAAAAGGGCAUUUGUUACUCUGAAACGGGUGAGGAUACACUACAGACUGGUGUGGAAUGCUAGGAAAAUACGACAUUGCUUUCCCAACGAUAGCAUUAUGAUGUUACAAUGCAAAACAGUGUAAAACUGAUUUUUUCUAAGCCUAUAAUUACUAUCUUCAGUGUGCAGUGCAGAACAUCAGCUUUUAUGCUUUAAUUGGGAAUUUGUGCAACUUACUUGAAUUUACACUUACCUGUUCAACAUAAAGUAAAAUGCACCUGUUGCAGCUUCACUAUAGCCAAAGGUUGAACCAACAAUAUUUUUGCCUUUAUAAUGAAAAUAUGGUAUUAAGUACGUGAGUUUCAUCCACCAUCAGUAUCACUAUUUGUCAUUGGGUAGUAAUGAUUUACAUUUACUUUUAGUGUUCAAAAGAAAAUUUGAGUCCUUUUGUUAUGAUGCUGGGCAGACCUGUUUGAAAAAACUCGCUCCUGAUGGUACAGUAACUUUGAGGGGAACAACUAUAGGUAUAACAAAAACACAAUAUUACCAGCUCUGAUGAAUAAUCAAAUUUAUUCAGUCAUUAACUGCAGCUAAAAUUGCCAAAAGUGAAAUAACUAGUUUUAUAACUGCAAUGCAAUAUAUAUUGCAGUGUUAGAAAUACAUUUAUCAGUAUCAGCUCUCUGGAGUUACUGAAUAUCUGCUUAAUGAUAUUUGUAUCAUGAACCUCUGUUUGAAUCUUGAGAUCUCUUAAGUGACUACUUCAGUGACAUGAAAAAUGUGUGCGCUGUACAGUUAGGCUCAACUGUAGGUAGGGCAUUGUGGCAUAAGUAUGGUAUUUCCUUAAUCUGUACUGAAGUUUUACCUGUGGAAGAAGAAAGGUGGUCUUUUAAUGUUUUUACGUGUAUAUAUGAGCACUGAAACCUAGUAAUGUAAUGAGAUUAGGUUUGGUUAGGUUAGUGAAAUUUCUACUGUAGGCUCCUAUUUUGAACCUGUAACCCUUAGAAUACUAUGCCAGUCUACUUUUUUUCACCUUAACCCAUCUAAGCCCAAUAGGUUUGUACCAUGCCUUUGACUGUUGUCAAUGGAAACUUGCCUAUUUCCCCACCACUAUACUGUACUUAAGUUGUGAUGAACCUAUAACUUAUGUCUGUGCUAAUGUAACUCUUGAGUAACUUGUCUGAAGGUUCUGUCACAAAGUUAGGUAUUAUGUUUGCAACCUUCUUACCUGACACAGGCCCUUGCCACAAUCAUUGCAAUAAUGCUCGUUACCACAUAUAGGCUACAGCAUGCUUUAAAUUUCUUCUGGGGUUUCUAUGCACUUCCAGUACUUAAGUUUACCCUUCCUAGGUUAACUUGUUUGAUGUGUUUGCCCUUUCUUUGCUUGUUGGUAAAUUUCUAUAUGCUGCUUGCCUUGCCUGACUACUGCUACCAUUAUUAGUCUUGCCUUUUAUGACAUUUAGAUUUUUUUUUCCAAAGCUUUAUAUAGGUAAGUCCUGAACAGGGAGUUCACAGGCUACACUGGGAAUUUUGACUUAGGCUAGACUUGAAUUCCUACUAAAAUUCAAUGUAGGCUAAACCAGUCUUUCUUUAUAUUGCACCUGACCUUGUUGCUCACAACUUCUACCUAGAAUGCAGACUGUAUUUUAUUGCAGUCGAAAGUCAUCCAGAGAGAAAAGUCAAAUAGGUAGGUAGUACCUGUUGCUGUGAACUUCUUGCCAGUUUAUCUGCUUACCACAGUAAGUUCGUCCAAAAAAGUACACAAGACGUAUCCAUGGCUCGCUACCUCAUGAUGCCACAUAAGUUUUAUGUUCCAGUUCAUAAAUAAAACAAUGGAACCACGAAAACACAUCGUGUCCAACUUCCAAGUGAUAUAAGGGAAGGAAGAUCGAGAGUCGGGAGUGCGUCGUGCGACUGAGUCGUCUAGUCAAUUGCCUCACAGAGUCGGACCACCGUCCACAUCGAAGUUCAAACACGCCUUCUAUAUCGGUGGUCUUGCCAGAAGGCGGCAAAAAAGUAAAAACGUAAUUCCUUCUUAAGCUGAGAUCUGCAGUGAUACUUUGCCUUGUAACAUAGGUCAUAUACCAACCUUAUAUCGUCACAAAAUCCCGAAA